rnacentral:rRNA from 1 species
AGCGAACGCUGGCGGCAGGCCUAACACAUGCAAGUCGAACGAACUCUUCGGAAUUUUUCGCGUACGGGUGUGUCACCCGUCGGAACGUUCCUUUUUGUUUGGAAUACCUCAGGGAAACUUGUGCUAAUACCGAAUGUGCCCUUCUGGCGAAUGAUUUAUCGCCAUUAGAGCGGCCCGCGUCUGAUUAGCUAGUUGGUGAGGUUACGGCUCACCAAGGCGACGAUCAGUAACUGGUCUGAGAGGAUGACCAGCCACACUGGGACUGAGACACGACCCAGACUCCUACGGGAGGCAGCAGUGGGGAAUCGUGCGAAAGGGGCGAAAGCCUGAAGGAGCCAUGCAGCGUGAAUGAUGAAGGUCAGAGGAUUGUAAAAGUCUUUCACAGGGGACGAUAAUGAAGGUAACCGGAGAAGAAGCCCCGGCUAACUUAGUG